rnacentral:rRNA from 1 species
CCUACGGGAGACAGCAGUGAGGAAUAUUGGUCAAUGGGCGCGAGCCUGAACCAGCCAAGUCGCGUGAGGGAGAACGGCCCUACGGGUUGUAAACCUCUUUUGCCGGGGAGCAACGGGCGCCACGUGUGGCGUCACUGAGAGUACCCGGAGAAAAAGCAUCGGCUAACUCCGUGCCAGCAGCCGCGGUAAUACGGCGGAUCCGAGCGUUAUCCGGCUUUAUUGGGUUUAAAGGGAGCGUAGAUGGGUUGUUAAGUCAGUUGUGAAAGUUUGCGGCUCAACCGUAAAAUUGCAAUUGAUACUGGCAGUCUUGAGUACAGUUGAGGUAGGCGGAAUUCGUGGUGUAGCGGUGAAAUGCUUAGAUAUCAGGAGGAACAUCGGUGGCGUAAGCGCUUUACUGGGCCGUAAUUGACGCUGAGGAACGAAAGCCAGGGUAGCAAAUGGGAUUAGAUACCCUUGUAGUC